GGUACGAGCACCUUCAAAGAAAUGUCAGUGCAGUUUUGAGCUGCGCAGAGCAUAACGCGAAGCUUAAAGACGAACGCUAUAUAUAUUUUUUUUAUGUUUGCAACCACAUCUCUUUUGAAACGCAGUCCUUGUUGCAAACCCUGGAGACAUACCGCAGUCGGACUAAAAAUUGAGUGCACUUCGUAACAAGGGGAUAACGUAUCCUGCAAGUGACCGACGAGGAAUAUCUAAUCAUUUGCGAGGAACCCAUAGGGCGGCGCGAGGCCCCGAAAAGCGAAGCACGGCGUCGAAAACCAAGCCAAGGUCUGUGGUCUCUGCCGCGCGAGGCGAAAGGCACACUUUUAACAUCGCACGGAAGAAAGAAAAAGACGAACAUGGGAAACCUAGCGCCAGGAAAAAGACCCGAAAUGUGCCGACUCCUGGUUCUUGGUAGAGGAUGAUGUAUAUGUCAGUAAUGGGAAGGAAAGAGCUAAUGGUAUAACCAACACUGCAGUGCUUGUGCUUCUCUUGUUGAAACAGAUAAUCAGCUGGCUGAAAGCAUGUGGCCUCUUUGUGAAAGCAUUACUUUGCAAUCAGCGAGGCAGCAGUUGGGUCAUUGCAAGGACGCUGGGUGUGAGUCCUGAGAGGCCUCUUUCUUUUUCUCAAGGAUGGAGUGAACAUCUACUUUAUUUUUGAUAUUCCUCUCUUGGUGAAAUGUAGUACAGGAACAAUUUGUGGAAGCAUGACCGCUGCAUUGGUGACAAAGUUGCUUCCUGGAGCCGCGCUCCAACUUUAUAUGUCUCAACGCAUCACUUCAAACUAAAUUCCAACCCAAAGUGACUAACCACAUCUAUGAAAGUGCGUUGGGUAAUAUGAGAGUAACAGGCUUCACAGUUGCUCAGCAACAGUGUCUAUAAUGUAAUGUGCUUUCACCAGAAGCCACGGGCACUGCCGAGGUUGUCGUUAAAAUGAAUCAGUUGCUUGGUUCAUUAAGUAGUUCUUGUGUACGCAUCAAAGAGAGAAAAAUGAGUCAUGCAAUUAGUGCUUCCAUAAAGCACAUAGAAUUCUCAAAUUCUUGCACCUCAUGGAUUAAGUCCUGGAGGUUCAAAGCACCUAGGCACCCACGAAUCACGUAGGGUUGACAGGUAACCAUAAAAGCAAUUAUUUUGUUGUGAACGGACGCGCAGAAGUUUUCGAGCUUCAAAUUUUUGCUCGCUCUUCGGCUAAAUUAGGACGUCUUAGAGAACCUUGAAGAAAAGAGCGCUACGAAGACGCGGACUAAAAGAAGAACAUGUACGACGGACAACGCGCAUCCGUCCCUUCUCCCUUGUCCGUCGUACAGGCCCUUGUCCCUCGUACAUGUUCUUCUUUUA